GUGGGGCUAGGAGGGGAACGACUGGAACGGUCGCUAAUACCCCAUAUGCCGAGAGGUGAAACGUUUUUUCGCCUGAGGAUGAGCUCGCGUCAAAUUACCUAGUUGGGGGGGUAACGGCCUACCAAGGCGACAAUCUGUAGCUGGUCUGAAAGGAUGAUCACCCACACUGGGACUGAAACACGGCCCAAACUCCUACGGGAGGCAGCAGUGGGGAAUUUUCCGCAAUGGGCGAAAGCCUGACGGACCAAAACCGCGUGAGGGAUGACGGCCUAAUGGUUGUAAACCUCUUUUCUCUGGGAAAAUAAUGACGGUACCAGAGGAAUAAGCCUCGGCUAACUCCGUGCCAGCAGCCGCGGUAAUACGGAGGAGGCAAGCGUUAUCCGGAAUUAUUGGGCGUAAAGCGUCCGUAGGUGGUUAAUCAAGUCAGCUGUUAAAGAGCGGAGCUUAACUCCGUUAGAGCGGUUGAAACUGAUUGACUAGAGUUUGGUAGGGGUCGAGGGAAUUCCCAGUGUAGCGGUGAAAUGCGUAGAUAUUGGGAAGAACACCGGUGGCGAAAGCGCUCGACUGGGCCUGAACUGACACUGAGGGACGAAAGCUAGGGGAGCGAAAGGGAUUAGAUACCCCCCAUAAUUCAA
rnacentral:rRNA from 1 species